UACGUAGGUGGCAAGCGUUAUCCGGAAUUAUUGGGCGUAAAGCGCGCGCAGGCGGUUUCUUAAGUCUGAUGUGAAAGCCCACGGCUCAACCGUGGAGGGUCAUUGGAAACUGGGGAACUUGAGUGCAGAAGAGAAAAGCGGAAUUCCACGUGUAGCGGUGAAAUGCGUAGAGAUGUGGAGGAACACCAGUGGCGAAGGCGGCGACCUGGACGGACACUGACGCUGAGACGCGAAAGCGUGGGGAGCAAACAGG
rnacentral:rRNA from 1 species